UUUGAUUUCAUCCAUAAAUCGACCCUCCCUCCUAUGCUAUGAGUUUCAGUACCAAUAGGAAUUCGAGCACACCCAUUGAGGAGGUCAGUAGAUUAGCAGCAGCGAUGCUAAGAAGAUUUUUUUACUCACUAUAAUCGCUCGCAGAAUAACGCCAGUCACGAGAUGGCCGCGUAUGACCGUAGUUCCCCUUGCACUACAAUGUGGUUCCAUUCGGAAAUGGAAUUUGUUUCAAACUUGG
rnacentral:lncRNA from 1 species